rnacentral:rRNA from 1 species
CCUACGGGGGGCCGCAGUGAGGAAUAUUGGUCAAUGGACGAGAGUCUGAACCAGCCAAGUAGCGUGAAGGAUGACUGCCCUAUGGGUUGUAAACUUCUUUUAUAUGGGAAUAAAAUGUUCCACGUGUGGGAUUUUGUAUGUACCAUAUGAAUAAGGAUCGGCUAACUCCGUGCCAGCAGCCGCGGUAAUACGGAGGAUCCGAGCGUUAUCCGGAUUUAUUGGGUUUAAAGGGAGCGUAGGUGGAUUGUUAAGUCAGUUGUGAAAGUUUGCGGCUCAACCGUAAAAUUGCAGUUGAAACUGGCAGUCUUGAGUACAGUAGAGGUGGGCGGAAUUCGUGGUGUAGCGGUGAAAGGCUUAGAUAUCACGAAGAACUCCGAUUGCGAAGGCAGCUCACUGGACUGCAACUGACACUGAGGCUCGAAAGUGUGGGUAUCAAACAGGAUUAGAUACCCCGGUAGUC